UCCCCCUGUUUAUUCCCUGCCAUCCUCACGAGUUUACAGCCAGAACCUCCAUUGCUUCCAGCCUGACAUUUCCCUUUGCUUCCUGCAAAUCCUUGGGCUUGUUUCAUAAGGUGCACCAAGACAUUCCACCAAGAGAGCAAACAUCUGACAAAAGUUCCCAGGGCAGAUGGAAGAAAAUGGGCAUCAGUUUGGAAUGUCUGUGCCAGGAAAUUUAUAAUAAUGCCGUCAUUCUUAAGACAACUCUGCAGCAGCAGGCUCAGACAGCUACAAAGUGGAGCACAUGCAUGGAUUUGUCAUCCUGUCUUACUCUUAAACAACAUUGGCUUCUUUGUCAAUUGUGAGGAAACAGGGGGAAAGCCCCUUGGAGAUGAGCCACACGUUUAUUUGUUCCUGAGCUCUGAUAGCAAUGUUGGCUGCAACACAAUCCUUUUUUUUAGAGGUGUCCAUAUGUCUGCAACAGGGAAUCUGGCCAGCUCACAGAAACUUCCUCUCCUCCAAGAACUGCAUACUGAGGCAAAUUCCCAGCUUAUUAAAAAAUAGUUGCAUUAUUUUGCCAUCUUGUUUAUUCUGCAAUUCCACUGUAUUCUUCCUCUCUCUCUCUCUCUCUUAUUUUUUUUAAUUAUGCCACUGGCUUUUGGAGGGGGAAACAAAGGAAAUGGAAUAGAAAAAAAAGCCAAGAAAUUUUAAAAUAUAUCUUUAUUUUGGACUGUGUGUCACUUCCAAACUUCUGUAGGAAUUGAUAGAAACAUCCCAAUAUUCAGAUGCUAUUUGUCCUGUGAAGAGCUGUUUGCAUGAGGAAGUACACAGAAGCUUCCAAAAAACCCUUAAAGAUCUUAAAGUAUGUUAUAAAGCUUCUCUUCAGCUUCUGACAGAGUGCCUUAACUUCACUGCUGCUGCAGUCUUUUCCAAAGUAAAUGAAAUCAGAACUGGAAUGGCUAAAACUUGAGUAACACUGUCCCAGAGUUUAAUGUGGUCCAAACACUCAAUUUCAAAGUUCAGCUUAGUUGUUUUAGUUUUCCUGAAUGAUUCCUAAGACAACUCUUCAAUUCAGUGGUGUAUUUUCUUUGGUUGUUUGGUUUCUUUUUUUUACCCCAUCUUAUAACUUCCUAGAUUUUGAAGGUAAAAGUUGUGUUGAGAUCCAGGAAACUGCUCCUUCAAAAUAAAGGAAAAUGUUUUGGUCUGUGGCUUCUUUCGUGAAGACACAAAACUGACCAUAACAACAUCUUUUUAGUUAUCCUUCAUCCUUCAUUACUUUUGAAGGAAAGGCUUGGCAGAAUUCCUUAUAUCCUUUCUUCUUUGAAUGCUAUAAAAGUAUUAUAGUUUUUUUUUUCCUUAAUGUACACUUGUGAAAAAAUUGAAAAGACACACACACACAAAAAAAAAAUUAAAAAAAAAAUUUGAAAAGUGCAAUGUUUGCUGGUGAAUCACCCAAAUGGCACCCAGACUCCAACACAGCAUUGUUGCGUAGCUGUUUGCAACUUCGCUUAAUUGAAUUUUGCAAUGCAGUUUCUCAAUGCCACUUUGUGAGGCUUCCUUUGUACGAAUCCAGUUCCUUAGUAUUUAAGAACCCCAGCUAGGCUUUGGAGAGGAGGGUUUCAGCUCUGCCUGCUCCUGGCUUUCCACCAUCUCUCUCUGCUCCGCGCCGCUGGCGGAGCGACCGCGCGGCUCAUCGCGGGGCACGGAUGGAGGGCUGGAUUGCACCUCCCUGUCCUGACACCUUUUUACCCUUUGACAUCACAGAGAAAACCACCAGACAGCCCCGUUCAGUCACCCACAGCCCCUGGUGCCUCCUCAGUGCUCAGUGCUCACGGUUUUAACGCGGCCUCUGCGCUUCUCCUGCCCUGCCACGGCAGAGCCGCGAAGUCUCCGGCUCUCCGGCACAAAUGGCGCUGUUUUGGUAAACUCCUCAAACUUUUCAACCCUCCUGCCAGGCUGGGAUGCUGAGAGCUGGGAAGAGCUCUUUGUGCCUUAAUGGCUUGAGUGGGUCCAGCGUAGGGCUGGGAGUACAAGUGUUUAUGGAAGGAUGAAAAGCAAAAAUAAAAAAAACAGGGUUUUAUGGAGGAAGGUAUGAUGUCACCCGGACCACAGCCUAUUUCUGGAACUAAGCUGUGAAACCCAUGAUACAUUUUGACACAUAAAUGUUGCCAAGGAAAACUGAUAAUAUAAUUGUUAAUACGGUCACAGCCAACUGUUUUUCAGAUAAGGAGUUAAACUCUUCCAUGCAAUACAGUCCUUGUGGAACGCAGCACCUAGUCAUUCCAUGCUUUCAUUGGCUCUGGGAUUACUUAUAUCAUAUUUAAAUAAAAGGACUAGAUUAUUGGGUACCAUAAGAACAAUGCAUUGCUUAUGGGCUUGCAGCGUUUAUCUUAAGUCAAUACAAAAGUUUUGAGUUCUAAAGCCUGUGUCAAGGGCAGUGAAACAAGGGCCACAUUCAGUGAACUAGUGAUUUGUUUAUUUCUUAAUGCACAUUUAAGUAUCUUAUUUUGGGGACUCAGAUGUACUUAGAUGACUCAGUUAAAUACAGCUUAAUUUAAAAAAAUUGUGUCUGUGUGAGGAACCAAAUCUGAUAGAAAAUAUUAAAAGUUAUUAUGUGCAAUUUGUUCUAGAUAAGGGUAAUGAUCAAACAACUUCCUCAUCUCUGCCACAGCACAAUUUCCCCUGAGAUAGAGGUGCAUUUUUGCAUCCUUCAUAUGAGCUUUGUUCCUGGGAGCUUGACAGGGCUCCACAAUGUAAUUAUAGAGUUAUUAGGAGUAAGUAAUACCAGAAAAGAAGAGAUACCUUAUAAGUGCAGAUAUGGAAGGGAAGGGAUAGGCUCAGAUAUGAAACAGAGAGAGACACUGUAGCCCAGAGACAUGAAAACUGCUCAGAGGGGCUCAGGACACAAAGGCAAAGACUGACAGCCAGGACUCAAGGUGUGCAGGGAACAAGUGGAGCUCUG